rnacentral:rRNA from 1 species
UGAAUACGAGAUGCUACGGCGUCGAAGCAGUCUAUGUCAUACUUCCAAGAAAAGCUUGCACUGUCAUAAACAAAUAAUGCCUGUACCAUAACCGACACAGGUGGGUAGGUAGAGUAUACUAAGGGGCGCGAGAUAACUCUCUCUAAGGAACUCGGCAAAAUGACUCCGUAACUUCGGGAGAAGGAGUGCCUUAUUUAUAAGGUUGCAAUAACAAGAUCCAAGCAACUGUUUACCAAAAACACAGGUCUCCGCUAAGUCGUAAGACGAUGUAUGGGGGCUGACGCCUGCCCAGUGCCAGAAGGUUAAAGAAGUUGGUUAGCAUCCGCGAAGCUGAUAACUGAAGCCCUGGUGAACGGCGGCCGUAACGAUAACGGUCCUAAGGUAGCGAAAUUCCUUGUCGGGUAAGUUCCGACCCGCACGAAAGGCGUAAUGAUUUGGAUACUGUCUCGGAGAGGGGCUCGGUGAAAUAGACUUGUCUGUGAAGAUGCGGACUACCUGCACCAGGACAGAAAGACCCUAUGAAGCUUUACUGUAACCUGAAAUUGAAAUUGGACUUUACUUGCGCAGUAUAGGUGGGAGGCGUUGAGAAUAUUCUUGCGGGAUUAUUGGAGCCAUCAGUGAGAUACCACUCUUGUAAUGUUAGAUUUCUAACUUUGUAUCAUUAUCUGGUCAAAGAACAGUUUCAGGCGGGCAGUUUGACUGGGGCGGUCGCCUCCUAAACGGUAACGGAGGCGCACAAAGGUUUCCUCUGAACGGGUAGAAAUCGUAUCUAGAGUGUAAAGGCAUAAGGAAGCUUGACUGUGAGACCUACAAGUCGAGCAGGGACGAAAGUCGGUCUUAGUGAUCUGACGGUGCUGAGUGGAAAGGCCGUCACUCAACGGAUAAAAGUUACUCUAAGGAUAACAGGCUGAUCUCCCCCAAGAGUUCACAUCGACGGGGAGGUUUGGCACCUCGAUGUCGGCUCAUCGCAUCCUGGGGCGGUAGUACGUCCCAAGGGUUGGGCUGUUCGCCCAUGAAAGCGGUACGCGAGCUGGGUUCAGAACGUCGUGAGACAGUUCGGUCCAUAUCCGGUGUAGGCGUUAGAAUAUUGAGAGGAGCCUUCUUUAGUACGAGAGGACCGAGAAGGACAUACCUCUGGUGUACCAGUUAUCGUGCCAACGGUAAACGCUGGGUAGCUAUGUGUGGAGUGGAUAACCGCUGAAAGCAUCUAAGUGGGAAGCCCACCUCAAGAUAAGUAUUCUC